GUUUUUAUAGUUGAAAUACAACGAUGGUUUUUCAUAUCAUUAGUCAUGGUUAGUCCCGUGUAAGAACU
rnacentral:tRNA from 2 species